rnacentral:rRNA from 1 species
AACGAACGCUGGCGGCAGGCUUAACACAUGCAAGUCGAACGAGAUCUUCGGAUCUAGUGGCAGACGGGUGAGGAACACGUGGGAACAUCCCUUUCAGUUCGGAAUAACGUUGGGAAACUAACGCUAAUACCGGAUACGUCCUGCGGGAGAAAGAUUUAUCGCUGAAAGAUUGGCCCGCGUCUGAUUAGCUAGUUGGUGAGGUAAUGGCUCACCAAGGCUACGAUCAGUAGCUGAUCUGAGAGGAUGAUCAGCCACAUUGGGACUGAGACACGGCACAAACUCCUACGGGAGGCAGCAGUGGGGAAUAUUGGACAAUGGGCGCAAGCCUGAUCCAGCCAUGCCGCGUGGGUGAUGAAGGCCUUCGGGUUGUAAAGCUCUUUUAUCCGGGAAGAUAAUGACUGUACCGGAAGAAUAAGCCCCGGCAAACUUCGUGCCAGCCGCCGCGGUAA